GUUGGUGAGACAAUAGCUUACCAAGGCGAUGAUCAGUAGCUGGUCUGAGAGGAUGAUCAGCCACACUGGGACUGAGACACGGCCCAGAAUCCUACGGGAGGCAGCAAUGGGGAAUUUUCUGCAAUAGGUGAAAGCCUGACGGAGCAAUGCCGUGUGGAGGUAGAAAGCCCAAGGGUCGUGAACUUCUUUUCCCAGAGAAGAAGCAAUGACGGUAUCUGGGGAGUAAGCGUCGGCUAACUCUGUGCCAGCAGCCGUGGUAAUACAAAAGAUGCAAGCGUUAUCUAGAAUGAUUGGGCGUAAAGCAUCUGUAGGUGGCUUUUUAAGUCCGCCAUCAAAUCCCAGGGCUCAACCCUGGACAGGCGGUGGAAACUACCAAGCUGGAGUACAGUAGGAGUAGAGGGAAUUUUCGGUGGAGCGGUGAAAUACGUAGAGAUCAGAAAGAACACCAACGGUAAAAGCACUCUGCUGGGCCGACACUGACACUGAGAGAUGAAAGCUAGGGGAACGAAUGGGAUUAGAUACCCUAGUAGUCCUAGCCGUAAACGAUGGAUACUAGGCACUGUGCGUAUCGACCCAUGCAAUGCUGUAGCUAACGAGUUAAGGAUCUCGCCUGGGGAGUACGUUCGCAAGAAUGAAACUCAAAGGAAUUGACGGAGCCCGCACAAGUGGUGGAGCAUGUGGUUUAAUUCGAUGCAAAGCGAAGAACCUUACCAGGGCUUGACAUGCCGCGAAUCCUCUUGAAAGAGAGAGGUGCCUUCUGGAAUACGGACACAGGUGGUGCAUGGCUGUCUUCAGCUCAUGCUGUAAGGUGUUGGGUUAAGUCCCGAAACGAGCGCAACUGUAACACCCCUUACCCGUUACCGUCGCUGGAACAGGAUACAAGGUAUUACUAGAACAUAACACAUACCAUUAAACAUAACCGAGAUAUAAAUAUGUCAUCCAAUUUGAUAGUGCAUCGUAUAACAUAUGUCUUGAACAAUAUUAGCCAACUUUAAUGGCUUGUACAAAGUAGCUGCUCGAGUACUGUAACUAAUAUUUUAAACCUAGACAAAUAUGACACGUAACAAAAUA
rfam:Gossypium arboreum cultivar AKA8401 contig_31188_7, whole genome shotgun sequence.